CGUUUGCUGGGGGCUUGUACACUCACCCGCCCCCAUUCACUUCUCUCCCUUCCUGUUUCUCUACACUCUGUCCUCUCGUCCGGCCGUCUCCCUCCUUUGUCCUCUGUCCUGCUCCGUCCCUCUCCCCCUGUCCGCAUGGCCUUUCUUGCAGGGGAGCCUCCACCUCGCCCACCUCAGCCUGCCUUCUUCACUCAGAGUAAGUGGGGCUGCUUCCGAUGCCUUGGCCCCCGCCCCCGCCCCCUCUCUCUCACUCCUCUCCUGGAAGGUACAGAGCCCGGGCGGCUGGGCCGGAGGGGAGGUGGGUGUGUGCUGUGAGCUUCCGCGGCUGCCCUGGCCUAGCGUGCCUGCCUCCCGAGCCUGCCCCCCGGAGCCUGGGCUUCUGGAGCACGAGUGUGGCCCUGGCUUCCGCCUCGGCCUCACUCCCUCCCAGACCUGCAGGCGCUCUCUGGGCUUCGUGGCCCUUGGUCAGGAGUGCUGUUCUCUCCAAGGAUAGUUCCUAUAGCCCCUGAUGGCAGGAGGCGGCUCCGUGCCUGCACUAAUGGUGUGCCGUGACGGGGGCGGGGAUGAGGGCUUACUAACUCACCCGGGCACAGGAGCAGGGCUGCGGGGUCUUGUGCUGAUGGAGGCAGCAGCCAGUGUUGCUUGCUCCAGCUUAGACGGAGGGAAGCGGGGCUCACCGGCCCGCACGGGGCUGCCGCGCAGAGCAGGUUCCGCCCUCCUGAUGGAGUGGUCGGAGGUGCGCUGAGAACCUGGCCGCCGAUGGCUGACCUCAGACCUCGGGGGGAGCUGGGAGUGGAGGGUUGCUGGGGGACACUCGGCUUUCUUUCCCAUGUGCCACCUCCCCUCGUGCCCCGACCCUGCCUGACUGCCUUCCUGUUGGGGUCUCCCUUUCCAUCACAGAACCAACCUAUGACCCUGUGAGCGAAGACCAAGACCCCCUGUCCAGCGACUUCAAGAGGCUGGGCCUGCGGAAGCCAGGCCUGCCCCGAGGGCUGUGGCUGGCGAAGCCCUCGGCGCGCGUGCCGGGCACCAAGGCCGGCCGAGGCAGCGGGGCUGAGGUCACGCUCAUCGACUUUGGUGAGGAGCCCGUGGUCCCGGCCCUACGGCCCUGUGCGCCCUCCCUGGCGCAGCUGGCCAUGGACGCCUGCUCCCUGCUGGACGAGACCCCGCCUCAGAGCCCCACGCGGGCACUGCCCCGGCCCCUGCACCCCACGCCUGUGGUGGACUGGGACGCACGCCCGCUGCCUCCCCCGCCCGCUUAUGACGAUGUGGCCCAGGAUGAGGAUGACUUUGAGGUCUGCUCCAUCAACAGCACCCCGGUGGGCGCGGGGGUCCCUGCCGGGCCCAGCCAGGGCCAGACCAACUACGCAUUUGUGCCUGAGCAGGCGCGGCCGCCCCCUCCCCUAGAGGACAACCUGUUCCUCCCGCCCCAGGGUGGGGGCAAGCCGCCCAGCUCCGCACAGACGGCAGAGAUCUUCCAGGCUCUACAGCAGGAGUGCAUGAGGCAACUGCAGGUUCCAGCCGGCUCCCCGGCCCCCUCUCCCAGCCCGGGGGGUGACGACAAGCCCCAGGUGCCCCCUCGGGUACCCAUCCCCCCUCGGCCGACGCGCCCACACGUCCAGCUGUCUCCAGCCUCCUCGGGCGAGGAGGAGACCGGUCGGUGGCCUGGACCUGCCUCCCCUCCCCGGGUGCCUCCACGGGAGCCCCUGACCCCUCAAGGCUCGAGGACACCCAGCCCCCUGGUACCAUCUGGCAGCUCCCCGCUGCCAUCCCGGCUCUCAAGCUCACCUGGGAAGACCAUGCCCACCACCCAGAGCUUCGCCUCAGACCCCAAGUACGCCACCCCCCAGGUGAUCCAGGCGCCUGGCCCGCGGGCCGGUCCCUGCAUCCUGCCCAUCGUCCGGGAUGGCAAGAAGGUCAGCAGCACCCACUAUUACUUGCUGCCCGAGCGACCGUCCUACCUGGAGCGCUACCAGCGCUUCCUGCGUGAGGCCCGGAGCCCCGAGGAGCCAGCCCCGCUGCCUGUGCCUCUGCUGCUGCCCCCCCCAGCACCCCAGCCCCCGCCGCCCCCACGGCCACCGUGCGGCCGAUGCCCCAGGCCGCCUUGGACCCCAAGGCCAACUUCUCCACCAACAACAGCAACCCAGGGGCCCGGCCACCAGCCCCGAGGGCCACUGCUCGGCCACCACAGAGGGGCUGCCCUGGCGAUGGGCCAGAGGCGGGCCGACCAGCAGACAAGAUCCAGAUGCUGCAGGCCAUGGUGCAUGGGGUGACCACAGACGAGUGCCAGGCGGCCCUGCAGAGCCACGGCUGGAGCGUGCAGAGGGCUGCCCAGUAUCUGAAGGUGGAGCAGCUCUUUGGGCUGGGUCUACGGCCCAGAGGGGAGUGCCACAAAGUGCUGGAAAUGUUCGACUGGAACCUGGAGCAGGCCGGCUGCCACCUUCUGGGCUCCUGGGGCCCUGCCCACCACAAGCGCUGAGAUGCGUCUGGAGAGCCAGAGGGCCUGCCUGAAGGAAUCACCUGAGCCUGUCCGUCCACCAGGAGUGGGGAGAUGCCCCCAUCCAGUCCUGGAGGACCCGCUGCUCCCUGCUGCUCCCAGGGAUGGAGCAAGGCCAAGGCUGCGGGAGGCCGGGAGCCCUGCCCUGCCCUGCCCAUUCCUCCCGCACCAGCGCUGUCCCUGCACACUUUGGUUCAGCCCUGGUGCCCCAGCCAAGAUGAGGAAGGAGCCCGGUGAAGACAGGCCUGGGGGCUGCCCCAGCAGGCUCUGGGUAUGACCUGCCUCUGGCCCUGGUCCUGGGUGGGGCCUGUGGCUGGAGUAAUGCCCCCAGGCCCUGCCCUGGGUGACAGACUGGGAGGAAACCAGGCUGGACCUGGGCAGGCGGGAUGUGUUGGCCACAGAGAGAGACGGAGCAGCACCCGGUGGGACCUCCUAGGACUGGGCCUUUGUCCAGGGGGCCCCUGGCAGCAGUUGGGGUGUCGGGCCUCAGGAUCUUGUGCUUGGAAAUAGCCUGAGGUGGCUCAGGAAGCGGAGAAAGGGCGCCAGACCAUUCUCUGGCGGGGACCAGGGCCCAAGGCCCCAGGGCUGGAAGGAGACCAAGGGGCAGCCGCCCUGGAGGGACAUCAGUGCUUCCUCUUCCACCCGAUUCCCCUGCGUGGUUCCACGUUUUCCCACCAGCCUGUCGGCAAAGUUGCUGCUCUGGCAUUCGGUACCUGCUUCUUCCAGAGAAAUAAAGUUAGUUUCUAUUUUAUGUU
rnacentral:sRNA from 1 species